UACAGAGAUUGCGAGCGUUAUUCGGAUUCACUGGGCGUAAAGGGUGCGCAGGCGGCCGAGUGUGUGAGGCGUGAAAGCCCGGGGCUUAACCCCGGAAUUGCACCUCAAACUACACGGCUAGAGCAUUGGAGAGGGUAGCAGAAUUCACGGUGUAGCAGUGAAAUGCGUAGAUAUCGUGAGGAAUACCAGAGGCGAAGGCGGCUACCUGGACAAUUGCUGACGCUCAGGCACGAAAGCGUGGGGAGCAAAAGGG
rnacentral:rRNA from 1 species